UAGCUUUUUGAGUUCUUUAUGUACCCUAGAGAUUAGUGCUCUAUCUGAUGUAUGAGGGGUAAAAUUUCAUCCUAGGAUGUAGGCUCUCUCUUCACCUCACAGAUUGUUUCUUUUGCUGAGAAUAAACUUUUUAGUUUGAUUCCAUCCCAUUUAUUGAUUAUCUGUUUUAAUUCUUGUGUUAUAGGUGUCUUAUUAAGGAAAUUCGGGCCUAAUUCCACAUGAUGAAGAUUAAAGCCUGCAUUUUACUCUAGUAGACACAGAGUCUCUGGUUUAAUUCCUAGCUUCUUGAUACACUUCUUUUUCAAUGACAACUUCCCCCUUUCCCAGUAUUAUUAGUUACUGUUCUGCAGUAUUAUCAGUUACUUUACCCAUAUUAUAUUUCAAAUGAACAUGGUAUUUUCAAUUGUUAUAACAAAACUGGAUGAGACUUUUAAAGUAUUUUUUUUUCUCUCUCUGGGUACAAUGAUACAUGCAUAUUAAUUAUAGAGACUCAAGUGGCUAAGCCAGUAAGAUUGCAAUUUCAAGGUAAACAUCCGUAACUUAGACAAUUAGAAAAACCUGUCUCAAAAUUUUAAUACAUGGCCGGGUAUGUAGCCCAGAAUUAACAUGCUCCUGUUUCAAAUCUCCAGUACCAUAGAAAAAAAAAUCAAAAGCAAAAUUUUUGUUGUUGUUGUUUAUGGGCAUUUUACAUGAUUGAAAAGUAAAGAAGAAUCCCUUGAUCUUGGCAAACUCAUGUGUUUCUAUUCUUCCUUUCUAUUCUGUCUCCAAGGGCAGACCACCUUUCAGAGUGUUUUUAUGCUCUGAUUUCCUUUUGUGGAAUGUAUAUGAGAGCAUUCUCAUUCCAUACUCUAGUAUUUUCCUGGAACUGUGUUUCAGAACUAUGUAAUAUGAGGAUCCCACAGCUGGCACAUCUAAUGCCUCUUGUAAGCCCAGACCAGUACUUGGGGCUUUUCUUGUUCAAGAGCAGUAUAAAUGUAGAGGGUUUAGUUUGUCAAAGAAGUAACUGAGAGAACUCUCAACUUCCAUUUUUUUAAAAUGUCUUCACUAAUUUUAUAGUCUAUCACAGUGUUUCUUUCUUCCAUAUUCAUAUAAUUGGAGUACUACUUACUAUUCCACUUUUUCAGAGUAGCUAUUCUAACA
rnacentral:lncRNA from 1 species